GUUGCGGUCUGUCCCGAUGGGUCUUUUCCUGCAGACGCACAUCGUUGGAGACGCCUCAUAGAAUAAGUGCGGUGCUGCCUUUGUCCACAGAACUGUUUGUUAGAUCUGGGGGAAGGAGUUACAGGACAGCU